rnacentral:rRNA from 1 species
UGUGGUGGCGAUAGCGAGAAGGAUACACCUGUAACCAUGCCGAACACAGAAGUUAAGCUUCUUAGCGCAGA